rnacentral:rRNA from 1 species
AGAGUUUGAUCCUGGCUCAGGACGAACGCUGGCGGCAUGCUUAACACAUGCAAGUGGAGCGACGAACCGGGGCUUGCCCGGGGCAGAGCCGCGAACGGGUGAGUAACACGUGGGUAACCCACCCCGAUGACCGGGACAACCCGAGGAACCUCGGGCUAAUACCGGAUGUGGUCGCCUUUUAUAAGGGAGACGACUAAAGAUAGCUUCGGCCUUCGCAACGGGACGGGCCCGCGGCCCAUUAGCUUGUUGGUGGGUUAACGGCCUACCAAGGCUCCGAUGGGUAGCUGGUCUGAGAGGACGAUCAGCCACACUGGAACUGAGACACGGUCCAGACUCCUACGGGAGGCAGCAGUGGGGAAUCUUGCACAAUGGGCGACAGCCUGAUGCAGCAAUGCCGCGUGAGGGAAGACGGCCUUCGGGUUGUAAACCUCUUUCAGUUGGGACGAAGCUUCGUCGGUUAAUAGCCGGCCGGAGUGACGGUACCUUCAGAAGAAGCUCCGGCUAACUACGUGCCAGCAGCCGCGGUAAUACGUAGGGAGCAAGCGUUGUCCGGAAUCAUUGGGCGUAAAGCGCGUGUAGGCGUCCGGUAAGUCCGCUGUGAAAGUCGGAGGCUCAACCUUCGAAAGCCGAUGGAUACUGUGGACUUGAGUACGGAAGAGGAGAGUGGAAUUCCUGGUGUAGCGGUGAAAUGCGCAGAUAUCAGGAGGAACACCAACGGCGAAGGCAGCUCUCUGGGACGUUACUGACGCUGAGACGCGAAAGCGUGGGGAGCAAACAGGAUUAGAUACCCUGGUAGUCCACGCCGUAAACGAUGGUCACUAGAUGUGGGGGGUGUCGACUCCCUCCGUGUCGUAGCUAACGCGUUAAGUGACCCGCCUGGGGAGUACGGCCGCAAGGCUAAACUCAAAUGAAUUGACGG